GAUGAACGCUGGCGGCGUGCCUAAUACAUGCAAGUCGAGCGAACGGACGAGACGCUUGCUUCUCUGAUGUUAGCGGCGGACGGGUGAGUAACACGUGGAUAACCCACCUAUCAGACUGGGAUAACUUCGGGAAACCGGAGCUAAUCCCGGAUGAUCUUCUGAACCGCAUGGUUCAAAGGUGAAAGACGGUCUUGCUGUCACUUCUAGAUGGAUACGCGCUGCAUUAGCUAGUUGGUAAGGUAACGGCUUACCAAGGCAACGAGGCAUAGCCGACCUGAGAGGGUGAUCGGCGACACGAGAGCUGAGCCGCGGUCCAGGCUCCUACGGGAGGCAGCAGUAGGGUAUCUUCCGCAAUAGGGGAAAGCCUUACGGAGCAACGCCGCGUGAGUGAUGAAGGUCUUCGGAUCGUAAUACUCUGUUAUGAGUGAUGAACAUAUGUGUAAGUAACUGUGCACAGCUUGACGGUAAUUAAUCAGAAAGCCACGGCUAACUACGUG
rnacentral:rRNA from 1 species